AGCGAACGCUGGCGGCAGGCCUAACACAUGCAAGUCGAACGAACCUUUCGGGGUUAGUGGCGGACGGGUGAGUAACACGUGGGAACGUGCCUUUAGGUUCGGAAUAACUCAGGGAAACUUGUGCUAAUACCGAAUGUGCCCUUCGGGGGAAAGAUUUAUCGCCUUUAGAGCGGCCCGCGUCUGAUUAGCUAGUUGGUUGAGGUAAUGGCUCAGCAAGGCGGGGAUGAGUAGCUGGGCGGAGAGGAGGAUAAGCCACAUUGGGACUGAGACACGGCCCAAACCGCGACGCAGCGGAGCAGUGGGGAAUAUAACGGGAGGGACGAAGGCGUAACAAAGCCGUGCGGGGGAAAUGGUGAUGGGGGUAGGAAAGCGAUAUUCCCUGUGACGAAGCGUGAGUGACGGUAAUGGGUAAAGAAGCACCGGCUAACUACGUG
rnacentral:rRNA from 1 species